UGCUCUGGGUCCCUGACGCAGCCUCUACAUGAGCUCACUGUAUUUUCCUUAUAUGAUCAGGCACCAUUUCUGGUGGCUCUGCUUGCCUGGAAACUGAAAGGAUUAUGAAAAUGUGACCAGCAAAGUCUGGCAGGGAACCAGGCA